rnacentral:lncRNA from 7 species
AUCCUGAUUCUGUUAUUUAUUAUUUGAAUUACUUUUACAAUCUUCGUUUCCUUUAUUAUGUCCACAAAUGAUGCAAAAAGCUAUACCACUGGAGAAGAGGAAAAAAUGCAUGAAUAUUCAACAGUAAUCAUAUGAAUAAUUUCUCCUAAUCUUAGUUAACCUAACCUGGCAGGCAAAAGAUACUACAGAUGCAACACAACAUUACUAUUAGAACUGUGUGCUUUAGAGAGACUGAGGAAAUGGAUAAUUGAGGAUCAAGCUACUCUACAGAUAAUUUUGCAUGACUACUUGAAAUGUGUCAAAGCAAGGCGAACACAGACUGUUACCCAGUCACAUCCUUGCAAUUCUGAAGAAAAUGCUCUGGCAGCUGGAUCUGGUGAAUCUUGGGCUGUGCUGUUAACUCAGUUCGGAGGGACAAUGCGCUCUAAAGAUUUUGUAGGCAUCCUCUAGCUGGCAUUUUCACCUCUUACUAGUGACUGCGAAUCACAAUAUUAGCAGGCUUUAGAGAAAUUUGAUGAAAUACGUAUUUUUUAGCUGUAGUUCCUAUCUUCUUGCUGUAACUAGAGAAAGAAUGGCUGAGUAGCUGUGGAAAGGGAGAAAGCUUCUCUUUAACAGUUCCAGAGAAUAAACACCAUUGUCUGUUUUUCCUUGCCCAGUUGUUAUAGCCUGGUCAAUACAACUUAAUGUUUUGCUGAAUAUAAGUCUAGUAAAAAAAAAUAUAUAUAUAUAUAUAGGAAAUAUGUUUCCUUGGGUUAGGAUUAACCAUGUUCCCUUGCUGCAUGCAUGUUUGCUUCUAGCAGUAUACAUCUGAACUUGUGGUUAACAAACACGUAUUGCCUGUGCUAGUUCCAUUCUGCAUUAUGUUAAAUGAAAAGUAAAUUUUAUAGCCAAGAGCUACCAAAUACUGCAGUACUAAUCCCUAAGAGUGUGUGGCUCAGUAGAGAAGAAUUUAAUGAAAAAGAUGCUGUGAGGGACUUAUUUUUUGUUCCACCACAUUAGUUAUGAGCUGUAAAAAAUCCAACAAAACAAAAAACAGAAAAAAAAAAGUUAUAACAACUUCUGCUCUUUAUUCUUAAGAGUUCAGUAUUUGUGACAUUGAUUUUUCUGUCACCAUAGCAAUCACUGGACAAUGUGACACCAUAUGAAAAAAAUAUAAAAUAUUUAUUUGCAUGUAAUGCUUUAUCUGGAAACCACUGCUAUCCAGAGAAAAAAGAUUAAGUGCCUAUUUAUUCCAACUUCUGCAGAUGUUCAAUUUGUUUGGUUUUAUUUAUGUAUUCUUUUUUUUGUACUGGUAGGUGUAUUGUUAUACUACAAGUUCAGAUAAUUCUUCACUUAUGCCCAGGUAAUUGUGCAUUAUUUGAUUUAUUGUAUUGUUAACAACAUUUUCCUCUGCCCUACUUUAUUAGGCCAUAUUUAAGUAAUAUAUGUGCACAUCUGAUAUUAAUCCAAGUGAAGUCUGAAUCCAGAUUCAGAUGUGACCUUCUCCCAAGGAUAUAACUUUUUCUAAUAAAAACUGACUGGAUUAGAAGC